rnacentral:rRNA from 1 species
AGCGAACGCUGGCGGCAGGCCUAACACAUGCAAGUCGAACGAAGUCUUCGGACUUAGUGGCGGACGGGUGAGUAACACGUGGGAACGUGCCUUUAGGUUCGGAAUAACUCAGGGAAACUUGUGCUAAUACCGAAUGUGCCCUUCGGGGGAAAGAUUUAUCGCCUUUAGAGCGGCCCGCGUCUGAUUAGCUAGUUGGUGAGGUAAAGGCUCACCAAGGCUACGAUCAGUAGCUGGUCUGAGAGGAUGACCAGCCACAUUGGGAUUGAGACACGGCCCAAACUCCUACGGGAGGCAGCAGUGGGGAAUCUUGCGCAAUGGGCGAAAGCCUGACGCGGCCAUGCCGCGUGGAUGAUGAAGGUCUUAGGAUUGUAAAAUCCUUUCACCGGUGAAGAUAAUGACUGUAGCCGGAGAAGAAGCCCCGGCUAACUUCGUGCCAGCAGCCGCCGUAAGAC